GAUGAACGCUGGCGGCGUGCCUAACACAUGCAAGUCGAACGAACAGACCCGGAGCUUGCUCGUCUGACGUUAGCGGCGGACGGGUGAGUCACACGUGUAUACCCUACCUCUCAGACUGGGAUCACUUCGGGACACCGGAUCUAAUCCCGGAUGAUAUAUUGAACCGCGUUGUGCAAUCGUGAGAGUCGGUUUUUGUGCCAGUAAUAGCUGGAUACGCGCCGUAUGAGCUGGUUGUUGAGGUAACGGCUUAGCAAGGCUAGGAUGCGUAGCCGACCUAAGAGGGUGAUCGCCGACCUGGGAAGGGAGACACGGUCCAGACUCCUACGGGAGGCAGCAGUAGGGAAUCUUACGCAAUGGGGGAAAGCCUGACGGAGCAACGCGGCGGGAGAGAUGAAGGUGUUCGGAGCGUAAAGCCCUGUUACUAGGGAAGAACAAAUGUGUAAUUAACCGUGCCGGUAUUGACGGUACCGGGUCAGAAAGCCCCGGCUAACUACGUG
rnacentral:rRNA from 1 species